rnacentral:rRNA from 1 species
GACGAACGCUGACGGUGUGCUUUAGACAUGCAAGUCGAACGAGAAAGCCCUUCGGGGUUAGUAAAGUGGCGAACGGGUGAGUAACACGUGGGCAAUCUGCCCCUCGCAGGGGGACAACCGGAGGAAACCCCGGCUAAUACCCCGUAAGUUCAAAGGGAGGCAUCUCCCCUUGAAGAAAGGUAGCUUCGGCCAUCCGGCGAGGAUGAGCCCGCGGUGCAUUAGCUAGUUGGUGGGGGUAACGGCCCCACCAAGGCGACGAUGCAUAGCUGGUCUGAGAGGAUGAUCAGCCACACUGGGACUGAGACACGGCCCAGACUCCUACGGGAGGCAGCAGUGGGGAAUCUUGCGCAAUGGGCGAAAAGCCUGACGCAGCGACGCCGCGUGAGGGAUGAC